AUUGAACGCUGGCGGCAGGCCUAACACAUGCAAGUCGAGCGGGGUUUUCGGACCUAGCGGCGGACGGGUGAGUAAUGCGUAGGAAGCUACCCGAUAGAGGGGGAUACCAGUUGGAAACGACUGUUAAUACCGCAUAAUGUCUACGGACCAAAGUGUGGGACCUUCGGGCCACAUGCUAUCGGAUGCGCCUACGUGGGAUUAGCUAGUUGGUGGGGUAACGGCUCACCAAGGCGACGAUCCCUAGCUGGUUUGAGAGGAUGAUCAGCCACACUGGAACUGAGACACGGUCCAGACUCCUACGGGAGGCAGCAGUGGGGAAUAUUGGACAAUGGGCGCAAGCCUGAUCCAGCCAUGCCGCGUGUGUGAAGAAGGCCUUCGGGUUGUAAAGCACUUUCAGUAGGGAGGAAGGGUGUUGUGUUAAUAGCACAGCAUUUUGACGUUACCUACAGAAGAAGCACCGGCUAACUCUGUGCCAGCCGCCGCCGUAAUAC
rnacentral:rRNA from 1 species